rnacentral:rRNA from 1 species
CGCUGGCGGCGUGCCUAAUACAUGCAAGUCGAGCGAACGGACGAGAAGCUUGCUUCUCUGAUGUUAGCGGCGGACGGGUGAGUAACACGUGGAUAACCUACCUAUAAGACUGGGAUAACUUCGGGAAACCGGAGCUAAUACCGGAUAAUAUUUUGAACCGCAUAGUUCAAAAGUGAAAGACGGUCUUGCUGUCACUUAUAGAUGGAUCCGCGCUGCAUUAGCUAGUUGGUAAGGUAACGGCUUACCAAGGCAACGAUGCAUAGCCGACCUGAGAGGGUGAUCGGCCACACUGGAACUGAGACACGGUCCAGACUCCUACGGGAGGCAGCAGUAGGGAAUCUUCCGCAAUGGGCGAAAGCCUGACGGAGCAACGCCGCGUGAGUGAUGAAGGUCUUCGGAUCGUAAAACUCUGUUAUUAGGGAAGAACAUAUGUGUAAGUAACUGUGCACAUCUUGACGGUACCUAAUCAGAAAGCCACGGCUAACUACGUGCCAGCAGCCGCGGUAAUACGUAGGUGGCAAGCGUUAUCCGGAAUUAUUGGGCGUAAAGCGCACGUAGGCGGUUUUUUAAGUCUGAUGUGAAAGCCCACGGCUCAACCGUGGAGGGUCAUUGGAAACUGGAAAACUUGAGUGCAGAAGAGGAAAGUGGAAUUCCAUGUGUAGCGGUGAAAUGCGCAGAGAUAUGGAGGAACACCAGUGGCGAAGGCGACUUUCUGGUCUGUAACUGACGCUGAUGUGCGAAAGCG